UACGUAGGGUGCGAGCGUUAAUCGGAAUUACUGGGCGUAAAGCGUGCGCAGGCGGUUUUGCAAGCCGGAUGUGAAAUCCCCGGGCUCAACCUGGGAAUGGCAUUCGGGACUGCAAGGCUGGAGUGCGGCAGAGGAGACUGGGAUUCCUGGUGUAGCAGUGAAAUGCGUAGAUAUCAGGAGGAAUACCGAUGGCGAAGGCAGGUCUCUGGGCUGACACUGACGCUCAUGCACGAAAGCGUGGGGAGCAAACAGG
rnacentral:rRNA from 1 species